GCCUUCAUAGUUUAGUGGAAGAACGGUAGACUUCUAAUCUUCAAACCUGGGUUCGAUUCCCAGUGAAGGCAC
rnacentral:tRNA from 1 species